CCAGUUCAUCGGUCAAGCCCUGUAACAUGUUGUCUAUGUCGUUCAAGACGUCGCCGCCAGCAGGUCUGAAAUGGGACACAAAAAUGGUCAGCACAUAUAAUCAAACAGAGCCCUGUAUGUCCUGAAGUCAUCACCAUGGAUACCCCCGGUUUCUUGGGCACCGCUGGUUUCUUCAAUUCUGUAGUGACAAAAACAUCCAAAAAUGUAAGAGCAUGCCUCUAAUCAUUGAAAUCAUAAUCAAAGCGAAAUAUUCACA